GAUGAACGCUGGCGGCGUGCCUAAUACAUGCGAGUCGAGCGAACAGAUGAGGAGCUUGCUCCUCUGACGUUAGCGGCGGACGGGUGAGUAACACGUGGAUAACCUACCUAUAAGACUGGGAUAACUUCGGGAAAACGGAGAUAAUACCGGAUAAUAUAUUGAACCGCAUGGAUCAAUAGUGAAAGACGGUUUUGCUGUCACUUUUAGAUGGAUCCGGGCCGGAUUAGCUAGUUGGUAAGGUAACGGCUUACCAAGGCAACGAUGCGUAGCCGACCUGAGAGGGUGAUCGGCCACACUGGAACUGAGACACGGUCCAGACUCCUACGGGAGGCAGCAGUAGGGAAUCUUCCGCAAUGGGCGAAAGCCUGACGGAGCAACGCCGCGUGAGUGAUGAAGGUCUUCGGAUCGUAAAACUCUGUUAUUAGGGAAGAACAAAUGUGUAAGUAACUAUGCACGUCUUGACGGUACCUAAUCAGAAAGCCACGGCUAACUACGUG
rnacentral:rRNA from 1 species